rnacentral:rRNA from 1 species
GGGGAAUAUUGCACAAUGGGCGAAAGCCUGAUGCAGCAACGCCGCGUGAGGGAUGACGGCCUUCGGGUUGUAAACCUCUUUUAGUAGGGAAGAAGCGAAAGUGACGGUACCUGCAGAAAAAGCACCGGCUAACUACGUGCCAGCAGCCGCGGUAAUACGUAGGGUGCAAGCGUUGUCCGGAAUUAUUGGGCGUAAAGAGCUCGUAGGCGGCUUGUCGCGUCUGCUGUGAAAUCCCGGGGCUCAACCCCGGGCCUGCAGUGGGUACGGGCAAGCUAGAGUGCGGUAGGGGAGAUUGGAAUUCCUGGUGUAGCGGUGGAAUGCGCAGAUAUCAGGAGGAACACCAAUGGCGAAGGCAGAUCUCUGGGCCGCUACUGACGCUGAGGAGCGAAAGCAUGGGGAGCGAAC